rnacentral:rRNA from 1 species
GAGGAAAGCUUGCUUUCCUUGAUGACGACUGGCGCACGGGUGAGUAACGCGUAUCCAACCUUCCCAUAACUACGGGAUAACCCGUUGAAAGACGGCCUAAUACCGUAUGAUAUCGUUUGCUGACAUCAAAUAACGAUUAAAGGUUUAGCGGUUAUGGAUGGGGAUGCGUCUGAUUAGCUUGUUGGCGGGGUAACGGCCCACCAAGGCAACGAUCAGUAGGGGUUCUGAGAGGAAGGUCCCCCACAUUGGAACUGAGACACGGUCCAAACUCCUACGGGAGGCAGCAGUGAGGAAUAUUGGUCAAUGGGCGAGAGCCUGAACCAGCCAAGUAGCGUGCAGGAAGACGGCCCUAUGGGUUGUAAACUGCUUUUAUGUGGGGAUAAAGUGCGUGACGUGUCAUGCAUUGCAGGUACCACAUGAAUAAGGACCGGCUAAUUCCGUGCCAGCAGCCGCGGUAAUACGGAAGGUCCGGGCGUUAUCCGGAUUUAUUGGGUUUAAAGGGAGCGUAGGCUGUCUAUUAAGCGUGUUGUGAAAUUUACCGGCUCAACCGGUGGCUUGCAGCGCGAACUGGUCGACUUGAGUAUGCAGGAAGUAGGCGGAAUUCAUGGUGUAGCGGUGAAAUGCUUAGAUAUCAUGACGAACUCCGAUUGCGCNNNCAGCUUACUGUAGCAUAACUGACGCUGAUGCUCGAAAGUG